UACGGAGGGAGCUAGCGUUGUUCGGAAUUACUGGGCGUAAAGGGCGCGUAGGCGGCCACUGCAAGUCGGUUGUGAAAUCUCCGGGCUUAACCCGGAAAGGUCAAUCGAUACUGCAGGGCUAGAGUGCAGAAGGGGCAACUGGAAUUCUCGGUGUAGCGGUGAAAUGCGUAGAUAUCGAGAGGAACACCUGCGGCGAAGGCGGGUUGCUGGGCUGACACUGACGCUGAAGCGCGAAAGCUAGGGGAGCGAACGGG
rnacentral:rRNA from 1 species